UUAUAGGAAACUUGCAGCUACGCAGUAAGAGUUGUUAUGGAAUCUUUUGUACGUCUUGUACCAAGGCUAGAAGAAGGGCCUGGAACUAUUGUAAUAACUCUAGGGUUGAAAGGUUCCAUUGUAUUUAACCAAUCUUCUGUACGCAGAGGUGUAUUGAAAUGUCAGAAUAUGAGAUUAAUGGGAACUGGGGAGAGUCGACUGGAACAGCUUGUAGGUGCCUGCCAAGAAACCGUGAACUUUAAUAAAAGGUAAUUCCGGCAGGGGGAGAUCGCGACCACCGACUCAUAUACCACCUACCCAAAUCGUACCCUAGACCCAUUUCUAGACCUUUCUAAGCUUUACUGCGCAUAAUCGGAUAUAGGAGGAGAGUAUGUAAAUGAUUUACAGGAAAUGUUAUGAUUAUGCAUGAAUAAUUAAUGAAUAUGUAUGAAUAAGUUCUAUAUAUGGAAUCUGAUUUUGGGACCUGGUGUGCGUUGAUCGUGAGAGGACUCGCUCACGCACCCGGCCGUUAAUAAAGAAGUGUCUGCUUAUCUACAUCACAUUGGUGUCGAUAAGUUCUUCAUUCCGAGAUUUCGGUAACAGUUUUGGCGACCCAGAUGGGACCUCGCUGAAGGAGACCGGAGGAGUCGGGGACCUGAUCGGUUCCGGCCGGCACCGAGGAUUUCUCGGGGACACCCAUCGAUCCCCGAUCCGUAAGGCUCUUCGCGACGUUCCCUGGAUUUUUGGGAAAACUUUGGCUGUGAUUUGGAGUGUAGUAAUUUGGAAUAGACCUUUACCCCUGGAAAAUUCAGUGCAUGAUUUCCAACCAGGAGACUAUGUCUAUGUGAAGACUUGGACCUCCGAACCUUUGCAGGAGCACUGGAGAGGACCCUUCCAGAUACUGCUAACCACUUUUACAGCUAUCAAAAUUGCAGAAUCGGAUGCUUGGAUACAUUAUACUCGAGUGAAGAAAGCACCGUGAAGAAAGCAUCUACUCCCUGGAAGAUUGUGAAUCGUGACCCAGAGACUUAAAAAAUUGACUUUGAAACAUGUCUAAUUUUGCAUAUCAGGUUAUGAUUGGUUUUUGGAUUUUUUUUUUGGUUGAUAGUGUUGGUGGGAUCAUGGGCUGACUUGGUGGACAGGAACAAAAGACAAAUAGAAACAGAACAAGUGAUUGACAUUCCCAAACAAAUGGCUGAGGAAAAUUUGAUGGUAGGAUUGAUUAAAGAA